rnacentral:rRNA from 1 species
AUCGAACGCUGGCGGCAGGCCUAAUACAUGCAAGUCGAGCGAGCGGCGGACGGGUGAGUAAUGUAUGGGGACUGCCCGCUAGAGGGGGAUAAAUUCUGGAAACGGUAGCUAAUACCGCAUACUAUCGGAUAACCCAUAUGGGAUUAGCUAGUAGGUGAGGUACUGGCUCCCCUAGGCGACGAUCCCUAGCUGGUCUGAGAGGAUGAUCAGACAGCCUGGGACUUAGACACGGCCCAGACUCCUACGGAGGAAGCAGUGGGGAAUAUUGCACAAUGGGCGCAAGCCUGAUGCAGCCAUGCCGCGUGUAUGAAGAAGGCCCUAGGGUUGUAAAGUACUUUCAUUCGGGAGGCGUUACCGACAGAAGAAGCACCGGCUAACUCCGGGCCAGCAGCCGCGGUAAUUC